rnacentral:rRNA from 1 species
UGGGGAAUAUUGGACAAUGGGCGCAAGCCUGAUCCAGCAAUGCCGCGUGUGUGAAGAAGGCCUUCGGGUUGUAAAGCACUUUUAUCAGGAGCGAAACGCUGUCGGCUAAUACCCGGCGGAACUGACGGUACCUGAGGAAUAAGCACCGGCUAACUUCGUGCCAGCAGCCGCGGUAAUACGAAGGGUGCAAGCGUUAAUCGGAAUUACUGGGCGUAAAGCGUGCGUAGGCGGUUUCUUAAGUCUGCUGUGAAAUCCCCGGGCUCAACCUGGGAAUGGCAGUGGAUACUGGGGGGCUAGAGUGUGUCAGAGGGUGGUGGAAUUCCCGGUGUAGCGGUGAAAUGCGUAGAGAUCGGGAGGAACAUCAGUGGCGAAGGGCGGCCACCUGGGACAACACUGACGCUGAGGCACGAAAGCGUGGGGAGCAAACAGGAUUAGAUACCCUGGUAGUCCACGCCCUAAACGAUGCGAACUGGAUGUUGGUCUCAACUCGGAGAUCAGUGUCGAAGCUAACGCGUUAAGUUCGCCGCCUGGGGAGUACGGUCGCAAGACUGAAACUCAAAGGAAUUGACGGGGGUCAUAGCGUGUUUCCU